UGCGACAGCAGAAGCCAUCCCGGCAUAUAAAACGGUCAUGCGGACUCAGCAGACGGUAACAGAAGAGUAAAGAAAGUGCGUGCGCCCCUCCAGCCUCUGGUGAAAGCACACAGGCCUGAUGGAAAGACCUCAUCCACUCCAGCUGCCGAGGAGACGGAUGUCGUGCAUUUUGCUCACGUCAGCAGCCAGGAACUUCUUCUUGGGUCGAGACGCCUCCUUCCUCUCGUCGCUAAAAGGAGGAGGUUAUUAAGUGUUUUGUCGACAUUUUUGUUCGGCCUUAACUUACGCCAACACGCUGGAGAUGGCGAAACACUCGGCCACCAGGUACG